UUGGUCAAGCUACUAAGGGUGCACGGUGGAUGCCUUGGCGCAGAGAGGCGAUGAAGGACGUGGUAAGCUGCGAUAAGCUUCGGGGAGCCGCAAGCUGGCUUUGAUCCGGAGAUCUCGAACGGGGCAACCCGGCAGGGGUCAUACCCUGUCAUCCUGGGGCGAACACAUAGCUCCAGCGAAGCCGACCGGGGGAAGUGAACCAUCUCAGUACCCCGAGGAACAGAAAGCAAAAGCGAUUCCGUUAGUAGCGGCGAGCGAAAGCGGACCAGCCCAAACUCUUGAGGUGUCAAGCCCGCAAGCGUUGCCUUGAGAGGGUUGUGGGGCGUUGCUCGGUGUGGUUGCGGCCACGCCGGGGAGUUACAAAUCAUCAGGCUAGUUGAAGCUCUCUGGAAAGAGACGCCAAAGACGGUGACAGCCCGGUAAGCGAAAGUCUGAUGGCUCCCUUGAAACGAUCCCGAGUACUACGGGGCACGUGGAACCCCGUAGGAAGCUGGGUGGACCAUCACCCAAGGCUAAAUACUCCUCUGCGACCGAUAGUGAACCAGUACCGUGAGGGAAAGGUGAAAAGCACCCCUGUGAGGGGAGUGAAAUAGUACCUGAAACCGUGCAUCUACAAGCAGUGGAAGCGCUAUGGUACGUCCAGCGCAACUGCGUGCCUUUUGCAUAAUGAGCCGGCUAGUUACUGUCGCUGGCAAGGCGAAGCCAAGUGCAUAGCCGAAGCGAAAGCGAGUCUGAAUAGGGCGAUUCAGUCAGUGGCAGUAGACGCGAAGCGAGGUGAUCUAUCCAUAGCCAGGGUGAAGCUGAGGUAACACUCAGUGGAGGCCCGAACCAGUGUUGGUUGAAAACAACUUGGAUGAGCCGUGGAUAGGGGUGAAAGGCUAAUCAAACCUCGUUAUAGCUCGUUCUCCUCGAAAUAGCUUUAGGGCUAGCCUCGUGAGUUGCAUCACGGAGGUAGAGCACUGGAUGGACUAGGGGGCCCUACAGUCUACCGAAUCCAACCAAACUCCGAAUGCCGUAGAUGUCCAUCACGGGAGUCAGACUACGGGGGAUAAGCUCCGUGGUCGAGAGGGAAAGAACCCAGACCGCCAGCCAAGGUCCCUAAGUGUCAGCUAAGUGGAAAAGGUUGUGGAGACGCACCGACAGCCAGGAGGUUGGCUUAGAAGCAGCCACCCUUUAAAGAAAGCGUAAUAGCUCACUGGUCAAGUGGCUCUGUGCCGAUAAUUCAACGGGGCUCAAGCUGAUCACCGAAGCUGCGGAUUCCCGCAAGGGAAUGGUAGAGGAGCAUUCCGUAGGCGACGAAGUCGGACCGUAAGGAUCGGUGGAGCGUACGGAAGAGACCAUGCCGGCACAAGUAGCGAAAAAGCAGGUGAGAACCCUGCUCGCCGAAAGUCUAAGGUUUCCUGAGGAAGGUCAAUCCGCUCAGGGUUAGUCGGCCCCUAAGGCGAGGCCGAAAGGCGUAGUCGAUGGAAAACAGGUUAAUAGUCCUGUACCGCUGCGACCUCGUUUGUACGACGGGGUGACGCGGAAGGAUAGCCCGGCCACCGAUCGGAAGUGGUGGUUCAAGCGUGUAGAGGGGGGCGAUAGGUAAAUCCGUUGCCCCAUCCAACCUCGAGGCGUGAUGUCAAGGCCCUCGGGCCACAAAGCGGGUAACUCCAUGCCGCCAAGAAAAACCUCUAAGGAGAGGUUGUGGCGACCGUACCGUAAACCGACACAGGUAGACGGGGAGAGAAUCCCAAGGCGCUUGAGUGAUCUCUUGUGAAGGAACUCGGCAAAUUGACACCGUAACUUCGGGAGAAGGUGUGCCGCCGCAUGUGUAAGAGUUCGCCUCUGAAGCACGUGGCGGUCGCAGUGAAAAGGCCCAGGCGACUGUUUACUAAAAACACAGGACUCUGCAAAGUCGAAAACGACGUAUAGGGUCUGACGCCUGCCCGGUGCCGGAAGGUUAAGAGGAGGGGUUAGCCCUCGGGCGAAGCUCUGAAUCGAAGCCCCGGUAAACGGCGGCCGUAACUAUAACGGUCCUAAGGUAGCGAAAUUCCUUGUCGGGUAAGUUCCGACCUGCACGAAUGGCGUAACGAUCUGGGCACUGUCUCCACAAGAGGCUCAGCGAAUCUGUAGCACCGGUGAAGAUGCCGGUUACCCGCAUGUAGACGGAAAGACCCCGUGAACCUUUACUGCACCCUGGCAGUGAUCUUCGGUGCGUUAUGUGUAGGAUAGGUGGGAGGCAUUGAAGUCGGGCCGCUAGGCUCGAUGGAGCCACUGGUGAAAUACCACCCUUAUCGUACUGAGGAUCUAACCCAGACCCGUUAUCCGGGUCGGGGACAUUGCCAGGCGGGUAGUUUGACUGGGGCGGUCGCCUCCUAAAGCGUAACGGAGGCGCGCGAAGGUUCCCUCAGGCUGAUUGGAAACCAGCCGUAGAGUGCAAAGGCAGAAGGGAGCUUGACUGCGAGACCUACAAGUCGAGCAGGUACGAAAGUAGGCCUUAGUGAUCCGGUGGUUCUGUAUGGAAGGGCCAUCGCUCAACGGAUAAAAGGUACUCCGGGGAUAACAGGCUGAUCUCCCCCAAGAGUUCACAUCGACGGGGAGGUUUGGCACCUCGAUGUCGGCUCAUCGCAUCCUGGGGCUGGAGCAGGUCCCAAGGGUUCGGCUGUUCGCCGAUUAAAGCGGUACGUGAGCUGGGUUUAGAACGUCGUGAGACAGUUCGGUCCCUAUCUCAUGUGGGCGCAGGACACUUGAAGGGAGCCGUCCUUAGUACGAGAGGACCGGGAUGGACGAACCUCUGGUGCAUCAGUUGUCGCGCCAGCGGCACAGCUGAGUAGCUAUGUUCGGAAAGGAUAACUGCUGAAAGCAUCUAAGCAGGAAGCCCCCCCUGAGAUUAGGUGUCCCCGAAGGCCACUGGAAGAUGACCAGUUUGAUAGGCGGGAAGUGUAAGUGCCGUGAGGCUUUGAGCUUACCCGUACUAAUCGGCCGUUCGGCUUGACCAU
rnacentral:rRNA from 1 species